rnacentral:rRNA from 1 species
GUAGUCCACGCUGUAAACGAUGGGUGCUAGCCGUUGGGGCCUUAGGUCUCGGUGGCGUAGCUAACGCGUUAAGCACCCCGCCUGGGGAGUACGGUCGCAAGAUUAAAACUCAAAGGAAUUGACGGGGACCCGCACAAGCGGUGGAACAUGUGGUUUAAUUCGACGCAACGCGAAGAACCUUACCAGGCCUUGACUCGCCCUCUAUGGCUUCCAGAAAAGGAAGCCUUCACUUCGGGUGGGAGGAGCACAGGUGCUGCAUGGCUGUCGUCAGCUCGUGUCGUGAGAUGUUGGGUUAAGUCCCGCAACGAGCGCAACCCUCAUCCCUUGUUGCUAACAGGUAAUGCUGAGAACUCUAGGGAAACUGCCGGUGAUAAGCCGGA